GCAAAGAACCAUGCACGCUCUUAAUUUCAGAGCCACCUCUCCAGCUUUAUAAAUUCAAAGCUUUAAAAUUGAGGAUGGGGGUGUAGCUCAAUCUGAAGUGUGCUUGACUGCCAUUUACAAGUUUCUGGGUUUGACUUCCAGGCGCACAUUAAAGUUUGACAAAGUAACACUAAUAGAGGAGUGCUGGAAGAGCCCAGUGAAUGUCAGCUGUGACAGUGACUGGACACAGUGUAUGGAAAAACAACUAACAAAGGAUGAUCUAAACCACUGCAAAAGUUUAUUGCACGAUUAUGGUGAACAAGGCACGGGACGUUACAGAGAACACCAAGAACUCCGAGUCCCAGGAGAGAAGAAAAAUGCCAGCCGGGGAGAUGAGUUGUGGGCGCAUAGAAAAAGAGCCUUAAGGCUGCAUCUUGUGACAGUGCAGAGCAGGGAGCAGAGUCGUUAACUUGGAGAGACUGCUUCCAUCAGUCUCAGAUGGGACUUUUAAAGGAUUUGUGAAGUAUAGAAAACAUGGGGACAUCAAAGAAUCCCAGCAUUUUUUUUUUUUAAAGUAUGGCUAUAGGAAAGCUCAAAGCUCAUCUAGAAAACCCCCUGCCCCAGGCUUCCAAGACCUGGGAUUAUGGGGACAAUUCACCACGCGGGGCUUCAACAGGGCUGUUACUUCAAAGAGUGGUGCAAGUCCUUAUGGACCACAAGGAAAGAUCUUCCAAGGCGCUUUUUCUCCUACUUCCCCUCAAUCUCUUAAGACUGAUGUACCCAGAACUCGAUCCUUUCUCUUCUCGUUCAUCUUCACUUCCUCCAUUGCUGAUAUCAUCCAGCUUCAAAGACAUAAAUGCCUUCUAUACUGUAAAUGCUCGGAC
ensembl:lncRNA